UACGGAAGGGGCAAGCGUUGUUCGGAAUCAUUGGGCGUGAAGGGCGCGUAGGUGGUUCUGUAUGUCUACCGUGAAAGCGUACGGCUCAACCGUAUUUUGUCGGUGGAAACUGCAGGACUUGAGGCUGGGAGGGGCUGGUGGAAUUCCCUGUGUAGCGGUGAAAUGCGUAGAGAUGGGGGAGAACACUCGUGGCGAAGGCGGCCAGCUAGACCAGUUCUGACACUGAGGCGCGACAGCGUGGGGAGCAAACAGG
rnacentral:rRNA from 1 species